AAAGUGCUUUACUUCGAAUCGAUUUCAAACCCGACUCUGACGGUGGCGAACAUACCGGAGCUGUGCCGUAUAGCGCACCGGAAGGGGGUGACGGUGGUGGUAGACAACACGUUCGCGCCUAUGGUGCUUUCCCCGGCGCGUCUGGGUGCUGAUGUGGUGGUUCACAGUAUCUCCAAGUUCAUCAGCGGUGGGGCCGAUAUAAUCGCAGGUAUAUUUGUCCUCUCCUCUUUCUCUCUCUCACUGUCUUCUCCAGUCUUCCUUAUUCACCACUGAAUCAAUGAAUUAAUAUUAAAUAAAUAAAUAAUAUUAUUAAUAAAUAAUUACUGUUACAUCUCUAUCACCCUAACAGUAAUUUUGUUGUCCCAAGAUACUCGUCUUUAUUAUACUGCUAUACACAACCCAACAAUUUUAUGAAAAAAAAUAUGUAACAAUUUAUUUCCCUUAGUUUGACAAUCAAAAUUAGAUGUAUUUACUAUCAAUUAAAAAUAAACAGUAAAAUUAUUAAAAAUUACAUGACAUCUUUUUUUUUUACCUCUUCAAAUUAAUAUUUUUAUAUUUAAUUAUUUUAGUUGAUACAUUUAAUAAUUUUUUUAUUUCUUAUAGAAGGUAAAAGCAUUAUUCUCAGUUUAAGUUUAAGGCGAGGAAGAAAGUGUGAAAAGAUGAAAAUCUAUAAAUAUAAUAAAGGAGGAAAAAAACAUAGAAAUUUACACAUGUAUUGAAUGAACAAAUAAAGAUACCAAUAGGAAUAUAGAGAAAAUAGAGAAAAAGAGAGAAAUUUGUAGUUAUAUUAAAUGAUUACUGACAAAAAUAGAAUUGAGGUAAAAAAGAAAGAUAAAAGUUAGAGGCAUAAACAACUAGGCAUAUAAACAAAACAAUCCCUUAAAAAAAAUUGUUUGCCUUGUGUUGUUGAGUUUAUUAGGGGUAUCUUUACAAAAUGUUCUUAAAAUAAAAUAAUUAUAAAACAACUACUUUUUAUGGAUCACGAAUCUACAUAGGACAACUAAUCGAGUUUAUCCUGAUAAUGAUGUGUACCCAUCUCACAUGUUGAAGUAUCAUUACUACUUAAUAAAAAAAAAUUAAUUAUUUUAUACUACGUAGGAUGAAUUUUAAAAACAUAACAUGAUAAAUGUGAUUUUAGAUUACACAAGAUAGUAUAUUAUUAUUUAUUUAUUAUUGUAAUUUUGUAAUAACUCUGAACAGUGUAGAUAGAAUUAGAAAAGAAGAGAUAAAAAGGAGAAAAAGGAGAUGGAGGAAAGUAAAAAACAAAAGAUGAAAAUUAGGGUUGGUGAUUUUUAAGAUAGGAAUAUCCUUAGCAGUUGAUGGACUAAUGAAAGUAUAUCACGACUGUGUGAGGAUAUAUUAAAAAAUAUGAUAAUGUAGUUUGUCAUUGUUCCAACAACUCUCUUUUCCUGCAGCGUUGGAAAGUUGGAAGUGGGGUCAUAAACUUUUUAAAGUAAAUGACAUUGUUUUUUAAAACUAAUUCCCAAACAUUUCCUGAAUUCAUUAUGCAUGUCAGUGUAAUUAUAGUUUUAUUGUCAACCAGAAUUGUAUGAGUUUUAUAAUAUAUUAUAAAAGUAAAUAAAUUUAAAAUUGACCAUAUAUUUAAAUAUUUUAUAACACCAAAUAAACUCUUCAACCGCACUAAAGUCCUAUUUAGAUGAAUUUUGCUAAAUAGUUUUAGGACAAAAAAAAUUGAAUUAGGUUGUCUUAUACUUUAUUUUUCAUUUAAUGAAAAAUUGUUUAUAACAUACGUGCAUAAGUUAAUUUAAUUUACAAGAUAAAUAUAAUUUAUUUUACAAUAAUUUCUAAAAACUACUCUUUGAGAAAAUAAAGUUAAUUAUAUUUUUGUCAAUAGUUUUUAGAAGUGUUUAGACUUGUCUAGAAGCUGAGCACUCUAUUUAAUUACUAUAUUGGAUGUGAACAAUUGAAUUUAUUAUUAUUCAGCUAAGCAAUUAGAAGAAAAUUAUUUCACACAACCUAUCAGUGUUUGGAUUUCAAAUUUUGGUUGUUUUUAAAACAAAUUUUUUUAAGUUUCUUUAUAAACUAUAAUUAUUUGUAUAUGCUUAAAUAUCUAUAAAAUAAUAUUUCUUUUACAGCUAUGAAACACAUUUGUUGAAGUUUGUUUACAAACUUUAUGCAAUUUUUUUUUCAAAUAUCUCUUUUAAUUAAUUGUCAAACAUGUCUUAUUUUAUAUUUAUGAACGUAUACAAUAGUUAUAUCAUACUUUUUUUUUUCAUCUUAUACCCUUUAUCAUAUUUUUAUUUAUUUUCUUCUUCUUUUAGUGUAACUUUUAUAUUAAAUUAAAAUGAUCAUACAUAAAAUUUAAAAAUAUUACACAAUUAAAUAAUACUUUUAUUAAUUUAUUUCUUAUAUACUCAUAGUAAGUUUAGCAAUAAUUUUACCACUUAAUAUAUUAAAUAGAAUAUUUCUUUUUUGAACUGAUGUGAUGUUAGUGUGGCCCUGGAUUACUGACCUCAAUAUCACGUGAAUUGGCUAAACUUUCUGCUCCCUUCUUUCUGACGUGGUACACGUGUUACUUUGCUUUUAAAAGGACUUGGUUUUAACCACAAAAAAUAGAAAUAAAAUAAAACUUAUUUUCAAUGCUCACAACAUUUAAUAUAUUUUUACUUACAUAUAUAUAAAAAAUACAAUUUUAGCUAUUAUUGUUUAUUAAACUGAUAUAUGUAGUAUCUUACUACAACAAAAUUCUAUCCUUUUAGAAAUAAUAAAAUUAACAAAAGGUUAUAUAUCUACAAAUGCAUUUGGUGUAGAAAAUGUUAAACUAUUUUGAUAGAAGCGAUAAAUAGAACAGCAAAAGCAAUAAAAAUUAUAGAUUUAGAAAAAGUGUAGAAAAGGAGGAUGUAAGAAAAAUAUUUCCAUAUCCUAACAGAAGAGAAAAUAAUAUUUUAUUUGAUAAUGGUUAUGAUUGAAAACGUAAUAGGGGCUGUGUGUGGGCCUGAAAGCCUGGUGAACAAGAUGAUGGACCUGCAACAAGGGGCCUUGAUGCUCUUGGGCCCUACGAUGAACCCAAAGGUGGCAUUCGAACUUUCAGAGAGAAUCCCGCACCUUGGGCUAAGAAUGAAGGAGCACAGUCAGCGGUCCUUAGUGUUCGCAAGGAGGCUGAAAAGCAUGGGCCUGAGGGUGAUCUACCCGGGCCUGGAGGAGCACCCACAGCACCAGUUACUGAAGUCGAUGCAUAACGCUGAGUACGGGUUCGGUGGGCUUAUCUGCGUGGAUAUGGAGACUGAGGAGAGGGCGAAUCGGUUGAUGAACCACUUGCAGAACUAUGGGCAGUUUGGGUUCAUGGCGGUGAGCUUGGGGUACUAUGAGACUCUCAUGUCAUGCUCUGGAAGUAGCACAAGCAGUGAGUUGAACUCUGAGGAAAAGAAGCUGGCUGGAAUUUCACCUGGGCUUGUGAGAAUGUCCAUUGGGUACAUUGGCACCUUGGAACAGAAAUGGGCCCAGCUCGAC
rnacentral:lncRNA from 1 species